UUGAACGCUGGCGGCAUGCCUAACACAUGCAAGUCGAACGGUAACGCGGAGAGCUUGCUCUCUGGCGACGAGUGGCGGACGGGUGAGUAAUACUUAGGAAUCUGCCCAGUAUGGGGGACAACAUUCGGAAACGGAUGCUAAUACCGCAUACGCACUACGGUGGAAAGUGGGGGACCUUCGGGCCUCACGCUAUUGGAUGAGCCUAAGUCGGAUUAGCUUGUUGGUGAGGUAAUAGCUCACCAAGGCGACGAUCCGUAGCUGGUCUGAGAGGACGAUCAGCCACACUGGGACUGAGACACGGCCCAGACUCCUACGGGAGGCAGCAGUGGGGAAUAUUGGACAAUGGGCGCAAGCCUGAUCCAGCAAUGCCGCGUGUGUGAAGAAGGCCUGCGGGUUGUAAAGCACUUUCAGUAGAGAAGAAAAGCCUAGGGUUAAUACCCCUGAGUCUUGACGUAACCUACAGAAGAAGCACCGGCUAACUCCGUG
rnacentral:rRNA from 1 species